rnacentral:rRNA from 1 species
AGGCCCCUUCGGGGGUACACGAGUGGCGAACGGGUGAGUAACACGUGAGCAACCUGCCCUUGACUUCGGAAUACCAGCUGGAAACAGCUGCUAAUACCGGAUAUGACACUUGCCCUCAUGGGUGGGUGUGGAAAGCUCCGGCGGUCAGGGAUGGGCUCGCGGCCUAUCAGCUUGUUGGUGAGGUAAUGGCUCACCAAGGCUUCGACGGGUAGCCGGCCUGAGAGGGCGACCGGCUACACUGGGACUGAGAUACGGCCCAGACUCCUACGGGAGGCAGCAGUGGGGAAUAUUGCACAAUGGGCGCAAGCCUGAUGCAGCAACGCCGCGUGCGGGAUGACGGCCUUCGGGUUGUAAACCGCUUUCAGUAGGGACGAAGCUAACGUGACGGUACCUACAGAAGAAGGACCGGCUAACUACGUGCCAGCAGC